rnacentral:rRNA from 1 species
CCCGUGAUUUUAUCGCGGGGUUGAAAGAUGCUAGUUCUUUCAUGAUUAUGUGAUAGGUGGUGCAUGGCCGUUCUUAGUUCGUGGAGUGAUCUGUCUGCUUAAUUGCGUAUCAAUAAUAGAGACCUAGUAUACGCGUAGACUCAUGCGGUAGUGACCCCCCUUCACAGGGCGCGUGUCGCACGUAUGUUAUACGCACAGGUCUCCGAUAGCAACGAACGUGACCGUACUCUAUUGUUGCAGCGACAAUACCUUUCAACGGGUAUUACCGCUGCUUAGCAAGAUUCGUCUUGCAUUAAACUAUAGAGACCGCUGUUUCUUCUUUAAACCAGAGGAAGGAUACGGCAAUAACAGGUCUGUGAUGCCCUCAGAUGUUCCGGGCUGCACACGUGCUACAAUGAUCAUUGCACUGUGCAUCUAACCCAAUGUGCGCGGACGCCGCCGUGCGUAUAUACUUUAUUGUGUAUGCGUAUCGUGCGUGCGACCGCGCCGAACCUGCUUCGAAAGUAAACAUUUCCAGCGGGUAAUCCAUUANAAGUAAUGACUCGCAUAGACCAUGGCACACUAUAUGUACCCGCGGGUUCUACCCGGCUCGCCUUUGUGUGANUGCAGUGCGUAGCUCGUUGUUUGGUACGUGCCACUCCGUAUUAAUUCAUACGUGGGGAUAGAUCAUUGUUUAAUUGUUGGUCUCGGUCUUAACUAGGAAUGCCUUGUACGGGUCUUUGGUUCA